AUCAUGAUCAACAUUGUGCAAGGCUUUUGUGAGACGAGCUAUUGCAUGGUCUUUAUGGUUACGCUGUUCGUAUCCCAACAGGAGUUUUGACGGAGUGGCCUUAAUUGUCGAAUGCCGUCUACAGUUUCCUGGAGUGGACCGAAGUGGUCUAUGUGUAUCAAUUCCAAGGGAGACUUUGGCAACGGAUACAAUUGAGUCUCGCUCUCCAGUCUAUUAGAGGAACUGUUUGCGGGUCUGCUAAUUGGAGGAAUUCGAAUCUUCGCUCUAGUGGAAGUUCAUCCACAAGUGCAACACUACGACUGAGGGCAUCUGCGUGUACCAUCCUAUUACCCGGCCGUUCAAAACUGUGGUAACGCGACUCAGCCGCGUUCGUUGACUGACUGAAGAAAGCCACAGGGGCCCAUGGACCGUCACUCUGACGUUGGAGGAGGACCGCUCCUAUACCUCCACUGCAUGCAUCGGUAUGCAACUGAGUCUCAGCUGCGGGGUCAAAUAGUCUUAAC